AGUUUCAAGUUAAGUAAAGAGUAUAGAGUUUCAAGUUAAGCCAAGAGUAUAAAGUUGAGUUCAUUUCUCAAAAGUUAUUAGGGAACUAAGUAUUCCCAAAGGAGUUUAUAAAUGUUUUCACAUUUAAGAUGAGAAGAAACUGAGAUUUCCAAAAGAGUUUUGAGCAUUUUGAGUACUAUCUCUUUUAAGAAAAAGAUGAGUUUUGCGAAGGUGUUUCUAAAACAUGAUUACUAUGACCAUCGAG
rnacentral:lncRNA from 1 species